rnacentral:rRNA from 1 species
UACGUAGGGUGCGAGCGUUGUCCGGAAUUAUUGGGCGUAAAGGGCUCGUAGGCGGUUUGUCGCGUCGGGAGUGAAAACUCAGGGCUUAACCCUGAGCCUGCUUCCGAUACGGGCAGACUAGAGGUAUGCAGGGGAGAACGGAAUUCCUGGUGUAGCGGUGGAAUGCGCAGAUAUCAGGAGGAACACCGGUGGCGAAGGCGGGUCUCUGGGCAGUAACUGAUGGCUGAGGAGACGAAAGCAUGGGGAGCGAACAGG